rnacentral:rRNA from 1 species
UACGGAGGGUGCAAGCGUUAUCCGGAUUUACUGGGUUUAAAGGGUGCGUAGGUGGGCAGGUAAGUCAGUGGUGAAAUCUCCGAGCUUAACUCGGAAACUGCCAUUGAUACUAUCUGUCUUGAAUUAUCUGGAGGUGAGCGGAAUAUGUCAUGUAGCGGUGAAAUGCUUAGAUAUGACAUAGAACACCAAUUGCGAAGGCAGCUCACUACGGAUAUAUUGACACUGAGGCACGGAAAGCGUGGGGAUCAAACAGG